rfam:Triticum aestivum genome assembly, contig: Triticum_aestivum_CS42_TGACv1_scaffold_571499_7AS
UUACUAUUCCCUCCGUCCAAAAAUACUUGUCAUCAAAAUGGACAAAAAGAGAUGUAUUUAGAACUAAAAUACAUCUAAAUACAUUUCCUUUUAUUCAUUUUGAUGACAAGUAUUUCUGGACUGAGGGAGCAGUAC